UUCCGCUUCUCUAUGGCGCGCGGGCUGCGGUCUCCGGGCCACUUGAACAGGUCUCUACUAUUUCUUCCUGACCUCACCAAACAACCAUGUCAUCAGAAUCGAGCAAAAAAAGGAAGCCCAAAGUGAUUCGAAGUGAUGGAGCUCCAGCUGAAGGGAAGCGCAAUCGUUCUGACACUGAGCAGGAAGGUAAAUACUACAGUGAGGAGGCUGAGGUGGACCUGCGGGACCCUGGAAGAGACUAUGAACUGUACAAGUACACAUGCCAGGAGUUGCAGAGACUCAUGGCUGAGAUCCAGGACCUGAAGAGCAGGGGAGGCAAGGAUGUGGCAGGUGAGAUUGAAGACCGCAGGAUCCAGAGCUGUGUGCAUUUCAUGACUCUAAAGAAGCUGAACCGAUUAGCCCACAUCAGGUUGAAGAAAGGAAGAGAUCAGACCCACGAGGCCAAGCAGAAAGUAGACGCCUAUCACCUGCAGCUCCAGAACCUGUUGUAUGAGGUGAUGCACCUACAGAAGGAGAUCACCAAAUGUCUGGAGUUUAAGUCAAAGCAUGAAGAAAUUGAUCUGGUCAGUUUAGAGGAGUUUUAUAAAGAGGCUCCUCCAGAUAUCAGCAAGGCUGAAAUCACCAUGGGAGACCCUCACCAGCAAACCCUUGCACGUCUGGAUUGGGAGCUGGAGCAGCGGAAAAGGUUGGCGGAGAAGUACCGAGAGUGCCUGUCCAACAAGGAGAAGAUCCUUAAGGAGAUUGAGGUGAAGAAGGAGUACCUGAGCAGCCUCCAGCCUCGCCUGAACAGCAUCAUGCAGGCUUCCCUCCCAGUGCAAGAGUACCUGUUCAUGCCUUUUGACCAGGCUCACAAGCAAUAUGAGACGGCCAGACACCUGCCACCUCCCCUCUAUGUCCUCUUUGUCCAGGCCACUGCAUAUGGGCAGGCCUGUGAUAAGACGUUGUCUGUGGCGAUCGAAGGCAGUGUGGAUGAAGCCAAGGCUCUGUUUAAGCCUCAUGAGGAGUCCCAAGAUGACGAGAGCGACUCGGAUGCUGAGGAGGAGCAGACCACGAAACGCCGGCGACCCACACUGGGAGUUCAGCUGGAUGACAAACGCAAGGAGAUGCUGAAGAGGCACCCACUGUCUGUCAUGCUGGACCUGAAGUGCAAAGAUGACAGUGUGCUUCAUCUGACUUUCUACUAUCUCAUGAACCUCAACAUCAUGACAGUAAAAGCCAAAGUGACAACCGCCACGGAGCUGAUCACCCCCAUCAGUGCAGGUGACUUGCUAUCUCCUGACUCAGUCCUGAGCUGUUUGUAUCCUGGAGAUCAUGGAAAGAAAACUCCAAAUCCAGCCAAUCAGUACCAGUUUGAUAAAGUUGGCAUCCUGACUUUGAGAGACUACGUACUUGACCUGGGUCACCCCUAUUUGUGGGUACAGAAGCUGGGUGGCCUCCACUUCCCCAAAGAGCAGCCCCAGCACACGGUGAUUGCUGACCACUCACUGAGCUCCAGCCACAUGGAGACCACCAUGAAACUGCUAAAGACCAGAGUGCAGUCCCGCCUGGCCCUCCACAAACAGUUUGCAUCCCUGGAACAUGGCAUUGUACCAGUUACUAGUGAUUGCCAGUUCCUCUUCCCUGCAAAGGUUGUGUCCCGCCUGGUGAAAUGGGUGACGAUUGCCCAUGAGGAUUACACGGAGCUGCAUUUCACCAAAGACAUUGUGGAGGCAGGACUGGCCGGGGACACCAAUCUCUACUACAUGGCUCUCGUGGAAAGGGGCACAGCCAAACUCCAGGCUGCUGUGGUGCUGAACCCUGGCUACUCCUCCAUCCCACCCAUUUUCCAGCUCUGUCUGAACUGGAAAGGGGAGAAAACCAACAGCAAUGAUGACAAUAUUCGGGCCAUGGAGAGCGAGGUCAACGUGUGCUACAAGGAGCUGUGCGGGCCCCGGCCGGGCCAUCAGCUCUUGACCAACCAGCUGCAGCGCCUGUGUGUGCUGCUGGAUGUCUACCUGGAGACAGAGAUCCACGAUGACAGCGUGGAGGGGCCCAAGGAGUUUCCCCAGGAGAAGAUGUGUCUGAGGCUUUUCAGGGGUCCCAGCAGGAUGAAGCCAUUUAAAUAUAACCAUCCUCAAGGAUUCUUCAGCCAUCGCUGACCUCCUGCUUGGCCUGUUGUCUCCCGCCCUAAGUGCUGUGCCUCUGCUUUCUCCUCUGGUCCACAUGUGGCUCCUGCUAGUCUCCAAAGACAGGAUUUCAUGAAGUCGAUGAGUGAUUUUGGAGAAUCAUAUGCAGAGCUUCCACCUAGUGAAGCUCUGGCAGAGAGACCAGGUGGCACCCGAGAAUCUUCAUGGUGAUGACAGGCUAAGUGCCUCCAGAAAUAAUGAUUUGACUCUCAUAGGAUUAAGAGAAGUCCUGGAGAAAUAGGUAACACCUUCUAAAAUGUUUGCAAAAUUAUCUCUUUUGUAAUCCUGCAGAAGUGGAACAAAGUGAAGGAUGGCAUCAAGUGUUCUCAGAUAGGUUUGUCAGAAAAACUAGACUCCUCCAAAUCAGUACUCUCUUUAUUCUUUACUCAUUUUAAGAAGUCAUAUAAAGAUGUAAAAAUAUUUUAGUUGCAAGUAUAAUAUAAAGCUUGCUAGCUACAGGAUGAAAUAAGUUUUUUUCAGCUUUAUUGAGAUAUGAUAUUGUGUAAGGUGUACAACAUGAUUAUUUAAUAUUCUGUAUAUUGCACAAUGAUCACCACAAUAAGGUUAGUUAACACCAUUAUCUCACAUAGGUAGUUUUUUCUGUGAUAAGAACUUUUAAGAUUGCUCUUAGCAAUUUUCAAUAUAUGUAAAUUUUAUUUAUAUGAUAGUCCCAAUCAAAUGGUUUAUUUUCUCCUACAACAUACUUUGAAGUUUGGUCCCAAUGUACGUGUAUUUGUUCUAAGAGUACCUCUGGUAUAAAAGCUGUUAUCCUCCUGUCCUCACAGCUGAUUGCUGAGCACCCAGUGACAAGGAUUUUCUAAGGAAGCACUGGGAGACUCCUCGCCCUGGCAGGGCCCUUCAUUUAACAGAUGGAAACCUGAGGCCAGUGAGGAGAGAAGGGCUCUUAGAGAACCACCACUACCUGUGUCCCUCUUUCCCUUCAUCCUACAUCAUUCCUUUGAAUUCCUGAGGUAGAAACUCUCCAGCCCAGAGGUCCUUGAACUUCAACAUGUAUGAGUCACUCAUCCUGGGAGCCAACUAGAAAUGCAGAUCCCCAUGCCCUACUCUAAUAUUCGGGCUCAGUUGACUCAAGAUGGGCUUGAGGAAGUGUAUUUUUAAUGAGCUUCCCAGGUGCACAUUGCCCUAGUCUCUUUGGAAGUUGCUGUACUUCCUUCAUUUUUAUUGGUGACUCCUCAAAUAAUGCAGAAGCGCCCCUUUCUCUGUGGGCAGCUCCCCCUCUUCUGUCUUCUUCACCUUGGGCAGCAGCAUGAGCCUUUGGGUGCUUUUUCCUCUCCACAGAAUGAGAUCUCCUUGUCUUUUCUCUGACCUACUUGCCUGGGACUCUCCCUGCCAGCACCUCCUUGGCCUGGCCACCUUCAGGCUUUGAGUCUCACCGCCUGUGCUGAAUAAGAUUGAAAUGGGGCCUAAAAAUAGUUCUUUUAAUGGCCUCUGCAUUGCAGUCUCCACUGCGUUCUUGGCUGGAAGGCAGCCAAACUGACUCAGCACCAAAGCUUGUCUCCGGUAGCCGGUAGCCGGGACAAGGUUGCGAACAGCUUGUGAGGGCUGGGAGGAGGCUUGGUUUCCUAGGCAGGGAUGUCAGAGCCUGUCACCCUCCAGAAGAGGUUUUUCUUCUUCAAAGGAGAAGACUGAACAAAAGAAUCCUUUGGCCUUAAGGAGAAGGUUUUAAAACUAGUGAGAAGCCCAGGAUAAUCCAGCCCCUUUGAGCUAGUUAACUGAGCCAUUUGUGCCCUGGCUGGCAGACUAGGGGAAGGGACCCAGCUUGCUUCCUCCUUACCCAGAAUUGGCCUUGCCUUCCCUGGGACACAUGUGCCUUGGUUGGCAGACUAGGGGAAGGGACCCAGCUUGCUUCCUCCUUACCCAGAAUUGGCCUUCCCUUCCCUGGGACACAUCCCAGAAUACAGGCCUUUUCUGUCCUCCUGCACCUGGGAGGGACUCAGCACAGGUACCAUGCCUUUUCAAAGCUGCCAUCCAUAUGUUCUUGAUUUCUUACCUUCUAGUUUCUCAGUUUUCUCCCCAGCUUGCCCUUUCCUAACUUUACAAAUAAAUCUAAAAGACCCUUUUUAUUUUAAGGGUGUUCCUGUUGAUCACUCUUGGGGAAACAAAGCUAAAAACCCUAUUCAUGGGAGGGAGCAGAGCUGCCAGUCUUCCCAAGGAACUUUAUCCCCAUCAGUGGAGCCCUGUCUCUGUCUUUCCAUGGUGUGCAGCAGCCUAUCAUGGUGUUAAGCAUCUAUUUUGGGUCAGGCUCUGUGCUAGUCACGAUUUUACAUUCACUGUCUUAUUUAUUACAACAGUCCCCAGGGUACACAUUCCCUUUGCUUUCACUGAUGAGGAAACUGAGGCUCAGAAGACUUGUCCAUGCUUAGAUGGUUCUCAAGCUGCCCAGCUAGUCAAUGCUGCUCUCUCUCAGAGUCUCCACUCUCUUCCCUCCAGGCACUUGGUAGGACAACUCUGCC